rnacentral:rRNA from 1 species
AUUGAACGCUGGCGGCAGGCCUAACACAUGCAAGUCGUACGGAAAGGCCUCUUCGGAGGUACUCGAGUGGCGGACGGCUGAGUAACGCGUAGGAACGUACCCCAAACUGAGGGAUAACCUCGAGAAAUCGAGGCUAAUACCGCAUGUGCUCUAAGGAGUAAAGCUUCGGCGGUUUGGGAACGGCCUGCGUAAGAUUAGCUAGUUGGUGAGGUAAUGGCUCACCAAGGCGACGAUCUUUAGCUGGUCUGAGAGGAUGAUCAGCCAGACUGGGACUGAGACACGGCCCAGACUCCUACGGGAGGCAGCAGUAGGGAAUUUUCCACAAUGGGGGCAACCCUGAUGGAGCAACGCCGCGUGCAGGAUGAAGGCCCUUGGGUUGUAAACUGCUUUUAUAUGUGACGAUAAUGACGGUAGCAUAUGAAUAAGGAUCGGCUAACUCCGUGCCAGCCGCCGCCGUAA